GAACACCUGGAUAAAGAAAAUGUGGCACAUACACAGCAUGGAAUACUAUGCAGCCAUAAAUAAGGAUGAAUUCAUGUCCUUUGCAGGGACAUGGAUGAAGCUGGAAAACAUCAUUCUCAGCAAACUAAGCUAUUCACAGAUCAUCAUCAGCCAGAGGUGACUUCUGUUGCUUGCAGCUCAGAAUCCUAGAUGUUUCCGGUGGCACUGAAGAGCCUCUGCUGAAGCUCUAUACCAUUUGCCAUUUACAAAGGGAAAUGAAAUAAUAACGCUGACCAUUUGUGGAGCACAUUCUGUCUGGAGGCAAAGGAUGCCAAGAUGGGAAAGCCACAUAAUGGAAGGAUCCUGGAUUUCAGAGCUGUCACUUGGAGGAGGGGCACCCAGUGAAGGUGUCUUAUCUAACCCACACCAUAUCUUCAUGAAGUGGCCAUAUGGAUUUGAUCCCUAUCCUUCAGAGGUGCUCAGCCUAAGGGAACACGGAUAGUAGAUUAAGCACUGACCAGGGGUAUAAAUCCUGCCUUCUCUCAGCCUUACAGAGGAAGAAAACCCUUUCCAAGUUUCCUCUGAUACUGGGUUUAUGCCCAAUUAUAGUUUAGGCAUGAAGAAACUGAAGCAUGGAGGAAAAACUUAGCAACUAGCCCAACGUCACACAGGCAAGCCAGCCUUGACAAUGUGCUGAUGGCAACCUAGAACAUAAGCAGAGGAGUAUACAGGACAAGAACUUGAUGGUCUCGGGAA
rnacentral:lncRNA from 10 species